AGAGUUUGAUCCUGGCUCAGGAUGAACGCCCUUUGCGUGCCUAACACAUGCAAGUCGAACGGGGCGCGCCGGCGGGGGCCCUCCGGGGCUGAAGCCGGCGCCGCCCAGUGGCGGACGGGUGAGUAACGCGUGGGCAACCUGCCCCGCACUGGGGGACAACAGCCGGAAACGGCUGCUAAUACCGCAUGGGCGCACAGCCCCGCAUGGGGCGGUGCGGAAAGCCUUGGCGGUGCGGGAUGGGCCCGCGUCUGAUUAGCUUGUUGGCGGGGCAACGGCCCACCAAGGCGACGAUCAGUAGCCGGCCUGAGAGGGUGGGCGGCCACAUUGGGACUGAGACACGGCCCAAACUCCUACGGGAGGCAGCAGUGGGGGAUAUUGCACAAUGGGGGGAACCCUGAUGCAGCGACGCCGCGUGGGCGAUGGAGCGCCUCGGCGCGUAAAGCCCUAUCAGCAGGGAAGAAAAUGACGGUACCUGACUAAGAAGCCCCGGCUAAAUACGUGCCAGCAGCCGCGGUAAUACGUAUGGGGCAAGCGUUAUCCGGAUUUACUGGGUGUAAAGGGAGCGCAGGCGGCCUGGCAAGCCUGAUGUGAAAUACCGGGGCCCAACCCCGGGGCUGCAUUGGGAACUGCCAGGCUGGAGUGCCGGAGAGGCAGGCGGAAUUCCUAGUGUAGCGGUGAAAUGCGUAGAUAUUAGGAGGAACACCAGUGGCGAAGGCGGCCUGCUGGACGGUGACUGACGCUGAGGCUCGAAAGCGUGGGGAGCAAACAGGAUUAGAUACCCUGGUAGUCCACGCCGUAAA
rnacentral:rRNA from 1 species